UAGCAUGCUAUCCUAAGGAUCUGAGCUCACUUGUAGCUCAUGGUUCUCCAAAUGCAUGCAAGAACAUUGGGCGGUCUUUGACUGUUGUGGCCCUUUUGCCACUAGCAGCCACUCAGCUGCCCUACAGAU
ensembl:snoRNA